UGGACACGAAUUAUUGUUUCGACUGUAUUCACGACGUGAAACAGGGAAUUAACACUAUUUUUAAACGGAAAAUGUAUCAAUUAACAUAAUAAGACUCCU
rfam:Nicotiana attenuata strain TT chromosome 10, whole genome shotgun sequence.